UACAAUCUCUGUGGUUGAGCUUUCAUUAGACACAAUAAUAGUGUUGAUUGGCUUACUGAUUGGCCAACACUUCCUGGCCAAAAAUUAUUUUCCUAUAGAUUCGCUUAACUGCUUAACUAAUUCAAGUCGGAACUCGCUUAAGGGAGAUUGGGGGUGGUGUACACGAGUAAUUAGUUUCUAUGAAGUGUCGUGGAGUUUCGGAAUGUAAACAGCAUAUUUCGAUUAUUUGCAUAAUUAUCAUAUCAGACUACAAUAUCAAAAGCACACUGUGGAUAUUUGGAGUGCUCUUCUCUAUGAACUGGUUUUUUUUUUGUUUUUUAGACGCUUGG